rnacentral:rRNA from 1 species
GACGUAGGGCGCGAGCGUUGUCCGGAUUUAUUGGGCGUAAAGAGCUCGUAGGCGGCUUGUCGCGUCAACUGUGAAAACCCGUGGCUCAACCAUGUGGUCUGCAGUCGAUACGGGCAGGCUAGAAUUCGGUAGGGGAGACUGGAAUUCCUGGUGUAGCGGUGAAAUGCGCAGAUAUCAGGAGGAACACCGGUGGCGAAGGCGGGUCUCUGGGCCUUACCUGACGCUGAGGAGCGAAAGCGUGGGGAGCGAACAGG